UAACAUGCAAGUCGAACGGGAGUAGCAAUACUUAGUGGCGGACGGGUGAGUAANGNGNNNNGGAUCUAGCUUCAGGUUCGGGACAACAGUUGGAAANGACUGCGAAUACCGGAUGUGCCUACGGGUGAAAGGCUUGCUGCCUGAAGAAGAGCUUGCGUCCGAUUAGCUAGUUGGUGGGGUAAAAGCUUACCAAGGCAUCGAUCGGUAGCUGGUCUGAGAGGAUGACCAGCCACACUGGGACUGAGACAAGGCCCAGACUCCUACGGGAGGCAGCAGUGGGGAAUUUUCCGCAAUGGGCGAAAGCCUGACGGAGCAAUACCGCGUGAGGGAAGAAGGCUCUUGGGUUGUAAACCUCUUUUCUCAGGGAAUAAAAAAAUGAAGGUACCUGANGNNUAAGCAUCGGCUAACUCCGUGCCAGCAGCCGCGGUAAUACGGAGGAUGCAAGCGUUAUCCGGAAUGAUUGGGCGUAAAGCGUCCGCAGGUGGUACAACAAGUCUAGUGUCAAAGACCGGGGCUCAACUCCGGGAUGGCGGUGGAAACUGUUGAACUAGAGGGUCGUAGGGGUAGAGGGAAUUCCCAGUGUAGCGGUGAAAUGCGUAGAGAUUGGGAAGAACAUCGGUGGCGAAGGCGCUCUACUGGACGGCAACUGACACUCAGGGACGAAAGCUAGGGGAGCGAAUGGGAUUAGAUACCCCAGUAGUCCUAGCCGUAAACGAUGGAUACUAGGUGUGGCUUGUAACAAAACGAGCCGUGCCGUANCUAACGCGUUAAGUAUCCCGCCUGGGGAGUACGCUCGCAAAGAGUGAAACUCAAAGGAAUUUGACGGGGGGCCCCGCACAA
rnacentral:rRNA from 1 species